UACGGGGGGGGCAAGCGUUGUUCGGAAUUACUGGGCGUAAAGGGCGCGUAGGCGGUUGGAUAAGUCAGCUGUGAAAACCACGGGCUUAACUCGUGGCCUGCAGUUGAGACUGUCUGGCUUGAGUGUGGGAGAGGAGAGUGGAAUUCCUGGUGUAGCGGUGAAAUGCGUAGAUAUCAGGAGGAACACCGAUGGCGAAGGCAGGUCUCUGGGCCACUACUGACGCUGAGAAGCGAAAGCAUGGGGAGCGAACAGG
rnacentral:rRNA from 1 species